rnacentral:tRNA from 1 species
GAGGGAAUAGCUCAGUGUAGAGUGCAUACCUAGCAUGAACAAGGUCCUGGGUUCAAUCCCCAGUACCUCCA